CCCUAGGUGGUGCAGAUGGUUAAUGCAUUUGGCUGCUAAUCGAAGGGCUGGAGGUUUGAGUCCACCCCAAGGCA
rnacentral:tRNA from 1 species